CGCUAGCUACAGGCUUAACACAUGCAAGUCGAGGGGCAGCAUGGUCUUAGCUUGCUAAGGCCGAUGGCGACCGGCGCACGGGUGAGUAACACGUAUCCAACCUGCCGUCUACUCUUGGACAGCCUUCUGAAAGGAAGAUUAAUACAAGAUGGCAUCAUGAGUCCGCAUGUUCACAUGAUUAAAGGUAUUCCGGUAGACGAUGGGGAUGCGUUCCAUUAGAUAGUAGGCGGGGUAACGGCCCACCUAGUCUUCGAUGGAUAGGGGUUCUGAGAGGAAGGUCCCCCACAUUGGAACUGAGGCACGGUCCAAACUCCUACGGGAGGCAGCAGUGAGGAAUAUUGGUCAAUGGGCGAGAGCCUGAACCAGCCAAGUAGCGUGAAGGAUGACUGCCCUAUGGGUUGUAAACUUCUUUUAUAAAGGAAUAAAGUCGGGUAUGCAUACCCGUUUGCAUGUACUUUAUGAAUAAGGAUCGGCUAACUCCGUGCCAGCAGCCGCGGUAAUACGGAGGAUCCGAGCGUUAUCCGGAUUUAUUGGGUUUAAAGGGAGCGUAGAUGGAUGUUUAAGUCAGUUGUGAAAGUUUGCGGCUCAACCGUAAAAUUGCAGUUGAUACUGGAUAUCUUGAGUGCAUUUGACGCAGGCGGAAUUCGUGGUGUAGCGGUGAAAUGCUUAGAUAUCAACAAAGAACUCCGAUUGCGAAGGCAGCCUGCUAAGCUGCAACUGACAUUUGAGGCUUGAAAGUUUGGGUAUCAAACAGGAUUAGAUACCCUGGUAGUCCACACGGUAAACGAUGAAUACUCGCUGUUUGCGAUAUACUGCAAGCGGCCAAGCGAAAGCGUUAAGUAUUCCACCUGGGGAGUACGCCGGCAACGGUGAAACUCAAAGGAAUUGACGGGGGUCCGCACAAGCGGAGGAACAUGUGGUUUAAUUCGAUGAUACGCGAGGAACCUUACCCGGGCUUAAAUUGCAGAUGAAUUACGGUGAAAGCUGUAAGCCGCAAGGCAUCUGUGAAGGUGCUGCAUGGUUGUCGUCAGCUCGUGCCGUGAGGUGUCGGCUUAAGUGCCAUAACGAGCGCAACCCUUGUUGUCAGUUACUAACAGGUUCCGCUGAGGACUCUGACAAGACUGCCAUCGUAAGAUGUGAGGAAGGUGGGGAUGACGUCAAAUCAGCACGGCCCUUACGUCCGGGGCUACACACGUGUUACAAUGGGGGGUACAGAGGGCCGCUACCACGCGAGUGGAUGCCAAUCCCCAAAACCUCUCUCAGUUCGGACUGGAGUCUGCAACCCGACUCCACGAAGCUGGAUUCGCUAGUAAUCGCGCAUCAGCCACGGCGCGGUGAAUACGUUCCCGGGCCUUGUACACACCGCCCGUCAAGCCAUGGGAGCCGGGGGUACCUGAAGUGCGUAACCGCGAGGAGCGCCCUAGGGUAAAACUGGUGACUGG
rnacentral:rRNA from 1 species